AGUAGGACAGGCUCCUAGACAGGAAGACAAAGGGCCUCCAGAACAUGGGUGGAAGCCUCGUAAUAAAAUGAGAGGAGGAUUCACAAGCACCCCUCAUCCCCAAAUCUGAAUCAAUUCUACCAUCUUAGUUCACCAUCUGCAGAAGAUGCUGGAUGCAAGCAACUUCAAGGAAAACCAGGUGAAUGAAUCUGUGGAAGGAAGAAUUGGGCUAUUCCAGCUACUCCUACUCCUGUUUGCCAGUGCUCGAAAACUGCUUUAAAAGAGAGCCAUUCUAUUUGCUGUGAUGGAAGAAAAUGAGACCAUGCAAAUAUCUGUGGAUGAAGG
rnacentral:lncRNA from 1 species